AUUGAACGCUGGCGGCAGGCCUAACACAUGCAAGUCGAGCGAGCGGCGGACGGGUGAGUAAUGUAUGGGGAUCUGACCGAAAGAGGGGGAUAACUCCUGGAAACGGUGGCUAAUACCGCAUACUAUCGUAUGAACCCAUAUGUGAGUAGCGAGGAGGGGGGGGAAAGGCUCACUUAGGCGACGAUCUCUAGCUGGUUUGAGAGGAUGAUCAGCCCCACGGCGACUGAGACACGGCCCAGACUCCGACGGGAGGCAGCAGUGGGGAAUAUUGCACAAUGGGCGCAAGCCUGAUGCAGCCAUGCCGCGUGUAUGAAGAAUGCCUUAGGGUUGUAAAGCACUUUCAGCGGGGAGGCGUUACCCGCAGAAGAAGCACCGGCUAACUCCGUGCCAGCAGCCGCGGUAAUUC
rnacentral:rRNA from 1 species